UGCUGUAUCCCCACGAAGAUUGAUGUAUUUUUGGACAAGAACAACAAACAAUGGUAACCUCUGUAUCCACACAUUUUUUAUUGAUCUUAUGUUCAUUUUAUGCAUUAACAUUAUCUGUUCGCUAUUCUUCUCUAUCAAAUACAACAGUGUAAUAUCUGUAACUGAAUCUUAGUUGAUCUUGUUUCGUGGCAUCACCCCUUUUUCUUGAAGCGACGAGAGAGAGAGAGAGAGAGAGAGAGAGAGAGAGAGAGAGAUGAUAGAUGCACUUGCAAAUUGGACGUUCCAUUCUUCUAGAUUCAUAGCAAUCCAACAAUGGAUACUGAUUGUUGGUUCCUUCUUCAGUAUGCUUCAUUUUGGUCCCCAUCCAUAAAUUUGCAACUGAUGCAGCACUCAUGUACACUUGUAACUUGGUUACUUUAUUAGUAACUGAAUCCUAAAACAAAGGCAGAAGGAUGAUACAUAUAACAAAGCCUUUGUAUCUAGUCGCUACUAUUUGUUUUCUCUAAAUAAAAUUCUCUAAAAUAGUUGCUACUAUUUGUUAAAUCUAGGGCCUCAUUUUUUAAUUGGCACCGGGCCUCCGUUUUCUCGGAUACGGCCCUGAUCAUGAAGCUAGCUAAUCUUUUGAUUCAGAAGAUUCCCACAUCCCACUUUUGUGCAACUCUCACACUCUAAUAUAUCUUUGUCCUGUUUAUCCAUCUGUACACAGGAACUGUUUUUUAUUUUCUUUUCUUGGUGCAUAAUCCGGGUGAGCAACAUUGGUUCUCCAAUAUCAGAGUAUAUGUGCCAUCUAGCCUAGUCUGCUAGUACUAUCUUCCAUGCAUUCAUUAUUUAAUUCUCCACUCUCAGAUUAUAUAAUACAAUAUGAAAAUUUGAUAAACAACUAAGCAAGGAAAUUCUGUUUGUAGUUUCAAGUCAUGCAAAGUUGUUGUUGUGAUGAGAUAUUGAUUUCAAGUCAUGCAAAAUUAUGUUGCUGCUGGGAAAAACUGCUGCUGAAUUAUUCCCAUGUAGCAACUUUGUCUCAUUUUUAUUAGGUGACCUUUACAAUUCUGUAGCAAGGAUAUAAGGGGAGUUAGUUACAUUGUAAAUUUGGAUUUUUAAAUGUUCUACACCAUGUUAUGUCAGUAUGACAAAACUUGCCUACCAAACAGAAAACUUAAACAAAGAAGAUUGUGGAUGGAGGGGUUUGGGGGAUUCAAGGGGUUUUGAGGGGAUUGGGUGGAGGGAAGGGAUUCACCCAAUCCCCUGAAAUCCCCCCUCCCCAAACCUCCCCAAUCCACUUCUACCAAACAAAGCCUGAUGGUUGUCAUAAUCCGCGACCAAGUAUUCGUGAUAAGUUCAGCUGGGCAGAGUGUGUGCUUUGUGACCCUCCUGCUGUUGGUCAUGUCUCCUGUAGCUGUGGCUGUAAGGGCUCAGAAGACGAAAUCGUAACAGCGAGAAGAACCAGCUUUGGAAGAAAGAACUGGAUUACUUGGUGAGGAGGCUGCGCAGCAGGAUUCUGAGAAUGCCAGCUCUAGCACUGCGCUCAUGGGAUCUGGUCAGGACAUCUCGUCAGACAAAGAGAACCUGAAUGUGGUGCGGGCCAUGUGUAAAUUCAACUUCUGGCAGACUGCUGUCUUUCGUAGAGAAAUGAGGAAAUGCGUACUUAUGCAAACAAGCUAAGUUUCGUUCUGCAUUUACAAAUACACAGUGUUGGGAUUAUGUAGUAUUGUACUACUUACUCUACCUAUAGCAACAUUACAACAGUCGCUUCAUGUGUGAAUUAGCAAAUGAGAAAAGGAAGCUACAUUAUUUUAUUUCAGUUGAGUGAUAUAUGUCUUAUCUGAACCAACACUGCAUCUCUUGGUCACGGAGCAUGUAGUGGACAUGCUCACUCUACUCCUGUAUCUUGUCAGCUUGCAUGUUGUCUCCAAUGGCUUCCUCUGAUGUUUUGUCCUUCCCUUCCUCUUUCUCCUUGGCUUUCUUCACUUCAGCCUCCUCUUUCUCCUUGGCUUUCUUCGCUUCAGCCUCCUUGGCCUUCUCUUCCUCCUUCGCCUUGGCGACCGCCGCGUCUUCUUUGGCCUGCUUGAGCGCCUCGAUGAGGCCUGCCAAGCACACGUCAGGGUCCCUCUUUUUCUUCUUGGACAUGGGCAUCAGGUUCUCCGCCACGUCAGCGGGCGACAUGUCGGUCUCCUCGAGCAGCUGCUGAAUCUCCCCAAACAGCUCAUGCCCGACGACAUCUAGGUAGUUCUUGGCGAGUACCUUGAAGCUCUCAAAGCGGCAGUAAGACAUCUCAAUGUGCUUGUCCAUCCUGCCCCGCCGGAUCAGUGCCGGGUCCAGCUUCUCCUUGUAGUUGGUGGUGAAGAUGAUGAUCCGCUCGCCGCCGCACGCAGACCACAGCCCGUCGAUGAAGUUGAGCAGGCCAGAGAGCGUCACCUUGGUCGCGUCAUCCUUCUCUGGCUCGAUUGGUAGCUUGGGUUUGUCGUUGCCAUCGGAGUCCUUGUCGCGAGAGGCCUUCUUGUCCUUGCGGCGUUUUCCGGUGAGGUCAGCGGAGCAGUCAAUGUCCUCUAUGACGAUGAUGGACUUGCCCGUCGUCUCGAUGAAGAGCUUCCGCAACUCGGUGUUGUUGUUGAUGGCCGUGAGCUCGAGGUCGUAGACGUCGUAGUCGAGGAAGUUGGCCAUGGCGGCUAUCAUAGUGGACUUGCCGGUGCCGGGCGGGCCGUAAAGGAGGUACCCGCGCUUCCACGCCUUGCCGACCUUAGCAUAGUACUCCUUGCUCUCUUGGAAUGCCAUGAGGUCGUCGAUGACGUCCUCCUUCUGUUUCAGGUUCAUGGCAAGGGUGUCGAAGGUCGCCGGGUGCUCGAACGGUACAUGGCUCCAGGCGCUCUUGGCCCCGUAAGGGCUCGAGCUGCCGCUGGCCUUGUUGGUGAAGAGGCGGCGCUGGCGGUUCUUGAUAAUGACGGUGCGGCCCUCACCGAGGACGAAAGGCAGGUAAGAAUCGACGAUGAGGUCGUGGUGUCGCUUAUGGAAGGUGACCCGGUAGAAGCGCUUCUCGUCCUCGCCAGGGUACAAACUGAUGACAUUGGCCUUGGGUCGCUGCUUGGAGGCGUGCCACCAGAGCGUGGCGCCGGAGAAGUCAUCGGUGACUCCCUCGUGGUCGUCGAUGGAGACCUGGAUGUUCUUGCUGUCCUUGCCGAGCUCAGCUUUGAGCCUGCGCGCGCGACGGGCACAUGCGUCGCUCAGGUAGGCCUCGACGGCGAGGAAGAGUUCGCUUCGCUUCCAGCGCUGGGCGCCGUUCUCCGAGAUGGUGAUCUGGAGGUAAGGGUUGAAGUAGGCGGUGAGCUUGGCGGCCAAAGCGGCGAGGUUGAGGCGGAGGGCGUCCGGGAUGUGGUUCUGCACCAUGGACCAUAGGAAGAUGGUGCUCGCCACCGCCGAUCCGAACCAUGGCCACCACUCCACCAUCGCCACCUCCAUGGCUGGACCUCUUGAUUUUUGUGUCUUGGGUUUUUCUUGCUGGAAGGCUGUAGCUCUAUUUGGCUCUGCACCGGACGGCACCUGAGUGAGUGAGUGGUUGUGCGUGUAUAUAAUGCUGGCUGGAGACGUGUGGUGAUUCACUUAGGUUAACCCAGGUCGUCGUCUUUGUCGUUAUCGGAGCAGAUCGUCGGGGUAGGUGGAGAGGAGCUGUUGGAGCCGAGAAAAAUCGGCGAGUCCAUACACACGGAACAAACUCAUGAAUUCCCUUUUCCCAGUACAGAUUGAGACAAGAUGAGUGAAUGGUUGGGUCUAGCCAACAGGUCAUGUUGGAGUGUUUCGUAUUGUAGUACUCAAUCCAUAGUACAAUUUUUUUGAAGAAGAAAAAUCACUGUAUCUUUUUAUGCAAGGGAGAGUACAGCUCACUCUGCUCCUGUCACUUCACUUCACUUGUCACCUUGCUUCAUGUCUCCAUUGGCUUCCUCUGAUGUUGUGUCCUUUGCUUCGCCUUCCUUCUUGGCAUUCUUCACUAGCAAGCAACCAGCAAUCCUGCCACUUGCCUGAUGCUGGACAAGAAGUGAGAAUCACUAGGAGAUGGUUUACUUUUGGUUGAUGAAGUAGAGUAACUUUCUGCAGGUUUUCAGCGCUAACAAAAUCCUGCCACUUCAUACAAGACUGAUGUUCAGAAUUCUGCCAUUUACAUACAGGACUGAUGUUUGUAGAAUCGAAAUUCAGUAAAUCCAAGCCCACCUUGAUCUCUAGGUUGACACACAUCAAGCCAGGUGGUGCUGAAAAGGUCAAGAAGGUCAGAUCAAAUCAAAUCCCAAAACUUGUGAAAGAAUUCAGUGGGGGAAAGGGCCUGUUGUGCUCCACAGAAGUGAAAAAUAACUGCAAAUUUAGUCUCCUCAAGAUCUAACGGUCUAGUCAUAGCAUAGGCUAGGUUGAUCUAAUCCUAAAGAUCUGUGUGGUGUGGUGAUUUACUUGACUUGAGCGCUACCGGUAGCCGUUGUUGUCGUCGUCGGAGCAGGAGAAGAUGAGCUAUCAGAAGAGAUAGGCCUUUUGCCCAGUAUACGUGGAGUCCUUGGCAGUACACUCUACAUAGCAACAUUACAAGAGCUAGCUGAUAUUUUUCCUUUAAGAAACGCUGCAUCUUUUGAAAGGGAAUCGUUCUAAUUCUAUCACUUGUCACCUUGCUUGAUGUCCCCAGGUGCAGGUGGCCGGCGAGCGGCGUGGUAUAGGCGGAAAGUGGUGGAGAAGCAAGAUGAUGGUGGCCACCGCCGACCCGACCUGGAGCUGGCCCUCUUUGAUGUCGUGUGCCUUGGGGUGGUCUUACUCUUGUCUCCAUGGAAAGCUGUAGCUCGACCUGGACUGGACGCCCGUGUGCUUGCAUAUAUAAUAUGCCAAUGAUUUGUGUGAUGAUCUGCUUAGGUUGAGCCUAAGCACGCGCCGCUGCGGUCGCCCUCGGAGCAGGUGAGGAGUUAUCGGAGCUGAGAAGAAGCGGGCGAGCAUCGACAUCGAUCGACCAGUCCACAGAAGUGGAAUUAUUUAUCGGAGACCCGCCACUCACCACACCGCUCCCGGAGAUGGAGUUAAAAAGCACGGAGCCGGGAAACAGAUGCUCCGCAGCUCCUCGUAUUCUUAAGGCAUCUCCAUUGCAUAGCCACUUCUGUAGACGCUUAAGGAUUAAAAAUAAAAAAGAUAUUGUCUACCGUUUGCAUAAGCG
rnacentral:lncRNA from 1 species